UUCAGUUUUCUAGUUAUUUUUCCCCACGAGAAUAGCAUCCGAUGGGUGUGCGUCAGUGUAGUGGACGACAAAUAUUUGCCGUACUUGGUACCAGUCACGCGAUAAAAUUGUCCGCUUCAAGCUAGCUAAAUCAACGUUUUACCGCGCUUAUUGUGGUAUUUAAACUGUCGUUUCUACGACUCCCGGCCCGAGUGGCAAUUCUCUCGGUCGGUGCGUGGAUCUUCGAGAGCGGUACGAAUCCUCGAGUCGAACGAUCUAUAGAUCUCUGUUUGCGUAGCGGUCGCGAUAUUCUUGAACGGUUGAAAAAGGAAACGGGAGCAUCGGGUUUCGGAAAAAUCGAAUAAUGUGUGUUGAUUAGUGUUCAAUGCGGAUAUUAAUAAUUCAAGUAAUCGAGACCGGUAUAAUACUGUUACUGUUUUACGUAAUGUCACAGGAUCAUUGCAUCGGGUAUUAUAUUUAGUCGAUCGUGAGACUUUGACCAAGGACGUUUUUCAGACCCAGGGUUGGUUAGAAUUUUCUCGUCCCGUGUUUGACGAGCAAUUAACCGUUUGAAAGUUUGCUGGGCAAACCCUGCGACGCUCGCCAGGAGGUUCAAUGGAGAAGAUAUGAAACAGUUCUCAGGAUAAAAAUAAGAAGGAAGUAAUUUCCCUCCGGCCAUUCACGUAACUUUUCUCGUCAACCCUGCCGGCCGGACCAGCUCGAACUCUUACAUAAUCCUUCUGACGAAUCGUUAGAGGUAACGUUAAGUCUGCGCAGAUGUAGUCGUUAAUUAUCGACGUUUACUCGUAUCGAUUUCCUAUUAUCUAUCCUGAAGAACUGAACCUCCAAGAAAUGGUGGAAUCGCGUGUUCUAUAAUUAAAGUAAAUUGUACGUUUGGUGCAUGAAAUUAAAUUGAUGGAUUGAAGAAAAGGGAUCAUUUUGGGCAUUCCCAUUGGCCCGAUAGGGAAGAACGAGAUAGAGUGACGACCGCGGGGUGUCGAGGGGUGUUCCGAACGCGACCUACAACAAGCGCCGACAGGCGCACAGCUGAUUUCGUAACGGCCAGCAGGCGACACUCCCGGAGUUCCACCGUUCUCCGGAAACGCUCCGUGACCUAUAUAUCCUGGAGAACCCGGGGAACAAGGAAACGGACUAGCUCUGUGCACGAAGCCCUUGAAAAAAGCGUAGGAGUCAUUGAAACUCCUCAUAAAAGUAGAAUGAGAUCGUACAAAGACUAGAAAUAAUAAUUCGAGUCGAAAAACCGAUGUUUCAUAUAUGUACUCAUCCGAUUAUUAAAACAGCCGUUAAACUGGUGUUCAAAUGAAAUUGUAUGGAAGAGAAUCGCAUGAUGCGAGCUCCCUGAGACGGGUAAUUGAAUAUGUAAGGGGAUUGAGGAUGUUGCUCGGAGGUGACGUCAUUUUUAAGGUCUCGGGAGACAGGACAAUUAAGUAACUGUUCGCAGACAGCCAGGGGGAGAGGGAGAUUACGCGUUUUUGCGCGUGUGUCGUGUCAACGUCGACAAACACGACGUCAUAAUCGGCUGAAGAAGCUCAGAUCACUGAACCUACCGGUUGCCCGUUUUUUGCGAGAACCGGUGAAAGAGCCACGUUUCACAGUGGUGAUUCAUGAGAUCGAGAACAGGCGGAGAUAGGAGAUGAAUUACUUUGCUCGACAUGGUCAGGAAUGCUAAACCAGAUGUUCGAAGGAUAGAAUCGCGUUCGAGGAGAUUGAGAAACACUGCGGUAAAGGGAGCCACGAUUUUCGUUUGU